CAAGCGGUGGAUGAAGAGAAGCUUCUGGGCUGUCAAGUGCCUGCUUCUUAAAAUCACUUUGGAGAACCCAGGGAGUGCAGGAGGCAAAGCAGCGCCCCCUGCGUGAGUCAUCCCCAUUUGAGCAGCCUUCCCACCCCGACCUGAGACACAAGGCCACACUUAGCAUCGAGGGAGACCAAGUGAUGUACCCAGCUUCAAGCCAGGCUUUGUUACAGAGAAGAAAGGAAGGGUAGAUGUUGGCAUAGCAACCAGCAUUGUCUGCAACUCUCUCUGCUGCGUGUCUCCCCAUCAGAUGCCCCCUGGGAACAGGGUGCCUGAGUGCGACUCUUAGGCCUGUAUGAUAAAACUGGACUUCUAAUUCCCUCUUUCACGUAAAUCAGAGCCAGUCAUAUCAUUUCUGCCCACAACCCAACAGCCGUAGCGAGCCACAGGGCCCUACCUGACUGCAGAUGGCUGGACGCAUGGGGAGCAGAAGGAAGGUAAUGAACAACACCACCUCCACCAGCCUUUAACAGGAGUGACGUGGCUCUACGUGCGCUUACAGAAAAGGCCUUCAAGACCUGCCGUUAGCUGGAAAAAUAAGAAGAGCAAGCUACAAAACUCACAUAGAAUAUGAUCCCACUUGGCACACAGAGGCCGUGUGAGCACAGCCAGAUGGCGGCUGCUUACAAGCAAGAGGAGGCCUCAGAACGAACCCUACCUUGCCAGACCUUGAUCUUGAACUACCCAGCCUCCAGACUGUGAGAAAAUAAACAUCUGUUGUGUAAGCCA